UCCCGGGUCGUCUAAUGGUAGGACACCGCCCUUUGGAGGCGACUAUCUUGGUUCGAAUCCAAGCCCGGGAG
rnacentral:tRNA from 1 species